rnacentral:rRNA from 1 species
CAGUCGCCGCGGUAAUACGAAGGGUGCAAGCGUUAAUCGGAAUUACUGGGCGUAAAGCGCGCGUAGGUGGUUCAUUAAGUUGGAUGUGAAAGCCCUGGGCUCAACCUGGGAACUGCAUCCAAAACUGGUGAGCUAGAGUACGGUAGAGGGUAGUGGAAUUUCCUGUGUAGCGGUGAAAUGCGUAGAUAUAGGAAGGAACACCAGUGGCGAAGGCGACUACCUGGACUGAUACUGACACUGAGGUGCGAAAGCGUGGGGAGCAAACAGGAUUAGAUACCCCCGUAGUCCCUGUCUCUUAUAC